AAUUUAUCCACCUCUCACAAU
rnacentral:miRNA from 1 species